AGAUUGAACGCUGGCGGCGUGCCUAACACAUGCAAGUCGAGCGGUAACAGGUGUAGCAAUACAUGCUGACGAGCGGCGAACGGGUGAGUAAUGCUUUGGAAUCUUCCCAGUAGUGGGGGAUAACCAGUCGAAAGAUUGGCUAAUACCGCAUACGUCUGUAAAGGGAAAGCGGGGGCUCGUAAGACCUCGCGCUAUUGGAUGAGCCAAAGUCGGAUUAGCUAGUUGGUGGGGUAAUGGCCUACCAAGGCGACAAUCCGUAGCUGGUCUGAGAGGACGACCAGCCACACCGGAACUGAGACACGGUCCGGACUCCUACGGGAGGCAGCAGUGGGGAAUAUUGGACAAUGGGGGAAACCCUGAUCCAGCGACGCCGCGUGUGUGAAGAAGGCCUGCGGGUUGUAAAGCACUUUUAGUGGGGACAAAAAGCUACGGAUUAAUACUCUGUGGUCUUGAUUUAACCCAAAGAAAAGCACCGGCUAACUCUGUGCCAGCAGCCGC
rnacentral:rRNA from 1 species